UACGUAGGGUGCGAGCGUUGUCCGGAAUUAUUGGGCGUAAAGAGCUUGUAGGCGGUUUGUCGCGUCUGCCGUGAAAUUUCGAGGCUCAACCUCGAACUUGCGGUGGGUACGGGCAGACUAGAGUGUGGUAGGGGAGACUGGAAUUCCUGGUGUAGCGGUGAAAUGCGCAGAUAUCAGGAGGAACACCGGUGGCGAAGGCGGCAUCCUGGACCGGCAUUGACGCUGAGGCGCGAAAGCCAGGGGAGCAAACGGG
rnacentral:rRNA from 1 species